CGUAGGGUGCAAGCGUUAAUCGGAAUUACUGGGCAUGAAGCGUGCGCAGGCGGUUUUGUAAGUCUGUCGUGAAAUCCCCGGGCUCAACCUGGGAAUUGCGAUGGAGACUGCAAGGCUAGAAUCUGGCAGAGGGGGGUAGAAUUCCACGUGUAGCAGUGAAAUGCGUAGAGAUGUGGAGGAACACCGAUGGCGAAGGCAGCCCCCUGGGUCAAGAUUGACGCUCAUGCACGAAAGCGUGGGGAGCAAACAGGAUUAGAUACCCUGGUAGUCCACGCCCUAAACGAUGUCUACUAGUUGUCGGGUUUUAAUUAACUUGGUAACGCAGCUAACGCGUGAAGUAGACCGCCUGGGGAGUACGGUCGCAAGAUUA
rnacentral:rRNA from 1 species